rnacentral:lncRNA from 1 species
UGGGCCAUGGAACCAAUGUAGUGGGUCCAACCAGCAUUAAAAAAGAAAGAAAGAAAGAAAGAAAGAAAGAAUAGAAAAUAUCAGAGUACAUAACAAGUAGUAAAGGAAGUCACCAUCUUCGGUGGGGACCUUUCUCAGACAAUCUAUUCUUCCACAAUUCUCCUUGAGCAACCAAGAUAUUAACGGGGAAGACUUGAAGUUUCUAUGCUGCUUGAUCCAGAAUUUUCUCACCAUGGAUGUGGGGUUCUCACCUUUGAAGCCAUGUGAUCUCUGCACAGCUGGCUCCCCUUUCCCUUCUGCCAUGAGUGGAAGCAGCCUGAAGCCCUCACCAGAAGCAGAUGCCAGUGCCAUGCUUCUUGUACAGUCUGCAGAACUGUGAGCCAAAUAAACCUCUUUCCUUUGUAAA